ACCAUCUAAAAAUAUUAGCUAAAGGCCAUGAUGGAAAAGCUGCUAAGCCAGCACUUUGUAGCAUAAAGAGAAGCAACAAUCUACCCUCCUGGGCAGUCAGUCAGGAACUUGAGUAGAAAAGGCAUCAGUUACCAAGGCUGCACAAUGUACUAUUGGGAACUCUGCAAGAAACAGAACACUCAGGGCAUGACUGCAAACUCCCAAUGCUCAGAUCAAAAAUUAAAUAUUAGUUUAUAUCAAACCACCUCCAUGUUUUUUAAAGCUGAAUUGAGUUCACAGUUUGUUUUGUUGGGUUGUUUCAUCAGACUGCAUUCUGCCAAACCAGAUGUGUGUAAGAUGAUAGAGAUGAAAAUUUAUCAAAGGACACAAUCUACUAAAGCUGGAUAAAGAAUUCUACAAGGCAAGGGUUGUGAAGUAGAGGAUCUCUGGCAAGGAGCAGCAAGAGACUUCAAUGAGUCAGCUAUUUGAACUGAAUUUUGGAAAAGGGACUUUGUUAAAGACAUGGAAAAUGUGAAGGUGCAACAGUGUUGGCAGCAAUAACUAUGAUGAUCACAUGGAUCACAAAGCAUUUUCACACCAUCAAGGUCAUUCAACAAGAUGCGUCAGAGGCAGGAGGAAACAGAUGUGGAUUGAGUCACUUGACUUGUCAUGACGGAUGAAAGCAGCCAAACACUCCUGAAGUACAGAAAGCUGUCUUCUUUAUCUGAAGAUAAGUCCUGGAAAAAUGCCCAUUUAAAGUUGAUCCAUUUUAAAGGUAUGCUGAAAUUUUCCAUUUGCCCUCAUGAACCCUACUCUCCAUCUUUAAUCUGCUCUGUGCCCAAGGAAUCUGAUCUAUUAGCACUCUGGCAUCCAAUUAGUUUAGACCGUUUGGAGGCAUUGGUGGGAGAGGAGAGGGCAGGAAGAGAGGGGAAGUAAGACGAUUUUGGCUCCUUCUCUGUAUCACUGUGACUUGGCUGUGUUCCUAGCCUCUACCAAAGGCAGCACUCUCCUUACACUUACUCUCGGAGUUCAAGUAACUGUUCUACAACUGGCCUCCCCCUAUUGCUAGCCCCAGGGUAUUGUAUUAUCCCUUGGUAGUUUCUCUAAAACCUUUCCAUACCUUUGUAAAUAGUAAAUUCUUCUCAACUGCCAGUUUCACUGUGCCUUCUGCUUCUAACCAAGACCCAGACUGGUAUAAACAAAACAAAGAGUUCACCGUACACACAGAGUAAACAAAAAGAUAGUUUGAUUAGGAAUUUUUAUGUUGAAAAUGAAACUGAACAAAGAAGAAAACAAGUAUGUCUUAUGUGCCCUGAAUUUAUGCUGUUUUCAACUUUUUACCUUUUUUUAGAAUAAAGAAAGAAAAAAAGCAUCUUUGGUUGUUUUU
rnacentral:lncRNA from 12 species